CCAGGGACCAUCAGACAGGAUUAAAAUCACUGCCGACACCAGCAGCAGUUGACCGUUCUGACGAUCGGAUGCUGCGCUUAUUCCCCAAACCUGCCCAGCACCGAAUAAAGCCGCGCGUCCACCGUCUCACAUCGGGCAUUUCCCUUCGCGUUCUUCCACGUAUAUCCGCCUGUUUGCGACAUGCCCGGACGCUGACGGGCUGCGGGACACAAUGAGGAUUGGCCUCGGUGUCAUCCCGCAGCCCUGCCCGCUCGGGGCUUUCUGGCCUCAGUACGUUAGCUAGCUAACAGAGUCCUCUCCGCCCAGAAGCCGUUGGAUUGUUUGGGCAUGCUAAAGGAUUUCAUGAACAACAAACGUGAGCUUUCUCUCGGCUCGACUGGAACAAUGCGAAAGGAAGUGCGGCGGCUGAUCGACAGGGUUUCCGAAAACUACGAGCAGGAGAUGCUCCACAGGGCGUCUGCUGGUAUCUGUCAGCUCCGAGAGAAGAGGAGUUUACUGAUGCUACUAUAGGAUGCUUAGAAGAUCAGCAGUGAACCACGUCUGAUGGUGAUGAGUCCACAGUCUAUGCUGCCACAAGGAUUGGGGAUUUAUUGGCGAACGGCACGAGCUUCUGGGGGGAAAGCGGAGACAUGCACAAGAAAAAAGAGGAAAGGGAAUUCCAGGUUCUUUAAAAGCUUUGUUUUUUAAAGGGAGUCCGCAACAGGCUUCUCAAAACACCUUCAUCAAAGAUUUGGAGCGUUGACACUGUUGCCAACACACCGUGAGGUGCUGCUGCCUUUCUGAUGUACUGACUGUUCCAGCUAUUCAUUCCUCUGUGGGGACAGCCAGGUGGACGCUGGAGCCCACAUUACAUGAGGACUGCAACAGACGGCCUGCCUGCCACAGUGUGGAGGACAAGCAGCCCACAGCAGGCUUCUGGAGCGGAUCAGGAGGUGAGACGACAUAAUACACCAACCAAGGGACCCUUCUCGAAAUGGGGCGAUGUGGAUUGAGGUGUUCCUGUUCCUUGUGAACUGCGGAAAGGAAGCAACCACGAGGACGGAGGAACGACCAGCAGACGGAGGAGGAGGAGGCGGCGAAGGAGUGGUGGCUUUGGUGUUUGAAGAAAAGCUGGUAUGGGUGGGGGGGCAUUCGGGAUGGCGAAUAGAAACGAGAGUAGCGAAGGGCCGGCUGGGCCCAUAGCAGCAGUGGUGGCUACGGCAGGAGGUAUGGUAGCAGAGAGCCCGUCCUCGGCUGUCUCUACCUAUAUCAAACUGGUGCUGCUGGGGCUGAUCAUCUGCAUCAGCCUGGUGGGCAACUUGGUGGUGUCUCUGCUCGUACUGCGGGACCGAGCCCUGCACAAGGCACCUUACUACUUCCUGCUGGACCUGUGCCUGGCCGACACCAUUCGCUCAGCCAUCUGCUUCCCCUUCGUGCUGGUGUCUAUAAAGAACGGCUCAGCCUGGACCUACAGCGUGCUGAGCUGCAAGGUGGUGGCCUUCAUGGCAGUGCUCUUCUGCUUCCAUGCAGCCUUCAUGUUGUUCUGUAUCAGCGUAACACGCUACAUGGCCAUUGCACACCACCGCUUUUACUCGAAACGCAUGACGUUCUGGACAUGUGUUGCAGUGGUGUGCAUGGUGUGGACACUGUCGGUGGCAAUGGCUUUCCCGCCAGUUUUUGACGUGGGCACAUACAAAUUCAUCCGCGAGGAGGACCAGUGCAUCUUUGAGCAUCGCUACUUCAAGGCUAAUGAUACGCUGGGCUUCAUGCUAAUGCUGGCUGUGCUCAUUCUAGCCACACACGUUGUCUACAUGAAGUUACUCCUCUUUGAGUACAAGCACCGUAAGAUGAAGCCGGUCCAGAUGGUGCCGGCCAUCAGUCAGAACUGGACCUUCCACGGGCCGGGGGCCACUGGGCAAGCGGCAGCAAACUGGAUUGCGGGCUUUGGCAGGGGCCCGAUGCCGCCGACUCUGCUGGGAAUCCGGCAGAACUUGCACAACCAGAACCGGCGCCUGUUGGGCAUGGAGGAGUUCAAAGCGGAGAAGCAGCUUGGCAGGAUGUUCUACGUGAUCACCCUGCUGUUCCUGGUGCUCUGGUCUCCCUACAUAGUGGCUUGCUAUUGGAGGGUGUUUGUCAAGGCUUGCACAAUACCACACCGAUACCUCUCCACCACCGUGUGGAUGAGUUUCGCCCAAGCCGGGGUCAACCCUAUUGUCUGUUUCUUCCUUAACAAAGACUUGAAGAAAGGGCUCCUUUCCCACCUACCAGCCUGCUGCAGGACUAAACCUCAUCUGCCACGAGAGCCUUAUUGUGUCAUGUAAGCAGAGAUGAUGAGCAAAGCAUGGAGAGAAACCAAGGGGCAGCCGACUGAUGUUGGGGGAGUGUUUGCCUGAGCUAAUGUGACGUUUGAUUCGAUGCAAGCUACUUGUAAGCAGUGGGUGCAAACUAGUGAAUGCAAUGGUUAAAACACUGGAAUGAAUUAUGGCCUUACUCCAUAAAAACAUCCAACCAAUGCAACAAAGAGUAGACGCGUGUCUCUUCUGUAUGCACUGAAGUCAUUCGAGGAGGAAACAGAACACUGUGUACACUAGUGACAUUUGGAAGACUUGUUGCUCUUCCCAUCCAAACCUGGAGGAACUGGAGUCAUGGACAGACUAUGUGAAAUGGGAUGAAGGCGAACAUUCAAAGUAGUAGAAGGGAAGCCCGCUCUGGAGUGUUUUUCACAGUUGUUUUCCUCUCAGACAUCAACAUGAGAGAAGAAGGAAAAACGACUGGUCUUUCAUUUCAUUUCUGAGAAGCCAGAGAAACGUGUGGAUGAUGCUGGAGAGGCCUGACAGUGCUUUUUUAGUUGCCUCGGGCAGAUUAUCUUUUGUAAAUGUACUGUGACCUCUGUACUAUUUAGUGUGUAUUAUAUUGACAGCAAACCAACUCUUCAACCGAAGAGUUCCUGAUCAUCAUAUUUUUACUGUGUGUGUGUGUGUGUGUGUGUGUGUGUUUCUAUUGGCAGGUAUGACUGUGCGUAUGAGUAAGAUGAUGAUGAUGGUUACAUGGAUGAACCAGGAACAUGAGAAGGAAAAUACUGACCAGAUACAUGCAUUAUGAAGAUAUCAUUCCUGCAAAUGCUUCCUCAGUAUUGCUCAUGGUGACACAAGGAUCCGAUUGUGUUUUCAAACCAAUGAAGUUUACUCAAGGUCCCUUUUGUAAAACAUGUAAGAGAUUAUUAUUAAUUGGACUGGAUUUUUUUGUACAUAUUUAGGGAUAAUGAAGGUAAAAGAGCUUGAGAUAAAGUCAGGCCAAAUGUGAUCGCAUACACUGUCUCUUUCUGAAUGUUUCAUUGAAGAGUUGAUACAUAAAAAAGCCUUUCAAACUAUAAUUUUCAUGAUGAUAAAUAACCAAGAAUUGUACAUACAAAACACUUUCACAUAAAAUCAGCACUCACUCAACACUUAUUUUCCUUAAAGAAUAACAGCAAAUGAUUUUCCUUGGGUCUUCAUCGAUCAGUAAGACAAACAGAUCUGUGAACACAGUGACUCAGUCACAUGAUCAGGCCGGAUGGGAACAAACCAACAGGUUAGUUGGAAGGACUCAAACCGUCUGUUGUGAACAUUCAUCACAGUUCACAUCCCACUUCCUGCUUCAACAUAUUAUUACUGACAUUCAGCGUGACCUCCAUAUAAAGUGGUUCAGAUAAACUAUUGGUUUGUUCCCAACCUGUCUGAACAUCUAACUGAUUGUUUCGUCCGUCUAGACCUUUGUUGCAGUGAUGUCGCCAUGCUCCCAUAUCUGAGAAUUAACCAAUAAAAGUGAAUACAUAUUACAAAGAAAUCAAACCCAAGUUGUAAUCAAUUGGAAGUUAUCAUUUAAUUGUCACCUUUUGUCUCAAAGAUUGGCUUUCUAUUGGCCUGGUCACAUCAGAAAAACCGUGAAGCAGCACCAGAGGCUAGCUAAACUAGAGUUUGUUUAAAGAAGUUCACCAAAGUUGAAUCUGGUAGGAAAGAAUAGAAUGUGAUGUGAGUGCUGGUGUGACUGGGCCACUGCAGUAAAUGAGCCAGAUACCAGUUUGAUGAGUGAAUGUACAAACCAGUCUGUGUUACUGUUCCAUGGUAAACACACACAGUAACUGAAAUCACAAUAACAAGACAUCACAGCAGCUAUAUACAGCAUUUCUUUGGAAAGAACUCAAUAAAACAAUGUCAUAGAGAGAGGGCCAGGCCUAUGAAUUCUCUGCAAAAUGUUUAAUUUUUCCCUUAAAGUGGAACACUAAAGGUAGAAGGUUAAUCUUGUCUCAGUGCAUCCUGAAGCCAACAUCAUACAUAAAAAAUACCAAAAGGUUUGAAGUAUGUGAAAGGAAUUUCUUCUGACCACCCAAUCAUGGAGGCAAGUGAGACGCUGCGGUUUCCGUUUGUUCUGUAUUAUUAAAAAAAAAAGUUUGAGCUAUUACGCAUGUCUCUGGCGAUUUAUGAUUUUUGUUGUUGAUUUUGUAAUGAAAAUAAAUUUCAUUUGAAAUGA